UCGUGCUAGGCGGGGAGCUAGCGGUGCCCUGUAGCCCGAAAUCCGCUCAGCGGGGCUGAAUCCCCUUUGGAGGGCUUCUUCUGUACCGGCUGUUAUCGUUUUCGGUGCCGAUCGGACACCACGCAACAGACGAAUACGAACCCCGUCAGGUCCGGAAGGAAGCAGCGGUAAGUAUCCCCGGCUGUGUCGUGGUCCACUCUGAUCAGGUGCUGAAGAGCCGGGCAGUUCGGACACAGAAGGUUCAACAAAGGGUGCACGG
rnacentral:SRP_RNA from 1 species